GUAGUCAUAUGCUUGUCUCAAAGAUUAAGCCAUGCAUGUCUAAGUAUAAGCAAUCUAUACAGCGAAACUGCGAAUGGCUCAUUAAAUCAGUUAUCGUUUAUUUGAUAGUACCUUUACUACUUGGAUAACCGUGGUAAUUCUAGAGCUAAUACAUGCUAAAAAUCCCGACCUCUGGAAGGGAUGUAUUUAUUAGAUAAAAAACCAAUGCCUUCGGGCUCCUUGGUGAUUCAUGAUAACUUAACGAAUCGCAUGGCCUUGCGCCGGCGAUGGCUCAUUCAAAUUUCUGCCCUAUCAACUUUCGAUGGGAGGAUAGUGGCCUACCAUGGUUUCAACGGGUAACGGGGAAU
rnacentral:rRNA from 1 species